rnacentral:lncRNA from 1 species
CUAGUGGAAUAUAAUGAGAAGCACGAGGCAGUACUGGAGGCAAUGGUGGAGGAGAGUGUGGAGGGCAUUCUGGGGCCAGAAGAGGAGGCUGGAUACCUAGCUCUCCCUUCGAGCCAAAUGUCACAGACAGCAGAAAAUGCCAUGGCUGUGGCCAUGAUGGUUAACACCAUGGUGGGUGGCAUAUCUGUGCCGGCCCGGGACCCACAUACCAGUACUAGUGCAGCCAGCAGUGCCGGACCACCAAUAGACCAGCCUGUUCUAGUAGGGGAUAGCACGGCCAAAGACACCAAAAAGCCAAUCAGCUGUUAUGAAGAGAGACUUUUGGAGAUAGAGGAGGAAAAGUUAUUAGUCAUGAAGCGUGCGCUUCACGUUUUCGAAUUAUUUGUCUUUAAUCAAAAA